rnacentral:snRNA from 1 species
GUGUUCAUUUGGUAGCACAUGUACCUAAACUGGAACGCUAGAAGAUGAGUGUGGCCCGUGUGCAUGGAUGACAUGCAAAUCUGUGAAACAUCUCAUUAAAAA